GUGGGUGUAGCUCAGUGGUAGAGCACAUGCUUAGCCUGCAUGAGGUCCUGGGUUCAAUUCUGAGUACCUCUG
rnacentral:tRNA from 1 species